rnacentral:tRNA from 1 species
GAGAGAGGCCUGUAGCAAUAGAGACUGCUAAUCUUUAUCACCACAGUUAAAAUCUGUGGCUCACUCG